rnacentral:rRNA from 1 species
UACGUAGGGGGCAAGCGUUGUCCGGAUUUAUUGGGCGUAAAGAGCGUGUAGGCGGCCAGGUAGGUCCGGUGUGAAAACUCGAGGCUCAACCUCGAGACGUCGAUGGAAACCAUCUGGCUAGAGUCCGGAAGAGGAGAGUGGAAUUCCUGGUGUAGCGGUGAAAUGCGUAGAUAUCUGGAGGAACAUCGGUGGCGAAGGCGGCAUCCUGGACCGGUAUUGACGCUGAGGCGCGAAAGCCAGGGGAGCAAACGGG